CUCCACAAAACAAGAAAAGCAUCAUUUAACAGGAGAAGUCUAGCCUGGAUGUUGCCAACAUUGGCAAAUUCUAGGAAGGAUAUAUUUUAAACAUAAAUGAGCGCAUAUGAAAAAUUGGCUUUAAAAAUGGCAGGCUGGUCAUUCUGCAGAUAAAAUAUCAGGACACGCUGAUCAACACGUUUAGAAACAUAAAUCAUC